GGUCCGCUGCCAAGGCUUUUCCGUGUGUUCCUCGCCGCGGCUUGGAACUCUCUCCACGGCCCCGUACCCGAGGCGACGCGCCCCGAUCGGCACCUGCGGUCACGGUCAGCGCCCGCUCUGCGCGGGGCGUGCGGAGGGCGCUCCGCGGCCAGGUGGCCUCGCUGUCCCCGCUGCCCCUGUCGCUCCUGCUGCUGCUGCUGCUCCUGCUGCCUGAACCCGGACCCGAGCUCUGACGACCCGGGCUCGCCUAUCAGACCGGGUCCCCUUCUGAGAGGGGGUGGCUCGCUUUGUUGUGUGCCAGGCGCUGCGCAGACCGUGGAAAUACCGUGGUGAGGAAGAACCAGACUCAUCCCAGUUCCUGCCUUCGUGGAGCCAGCAGUUUAUGGGAGGCGGGCGAUUUUGCUAUAAAAGAAAUAGCCAUAAGGAACCUUUUGAAGUUAUCAAUAUAGAGAAAACCACCACAAGAAGCAACCAUGCCUGCAGAAGGAGGGAAAACUGACAUGGAGAGGAUUGGCCUCUUCAGUGAGAUGGAAUAUGUUACUGUUGGUGACAAAUACUUGUCAUCAUUUAACCGACCCUUUAAUGAGGCUGCAAGCAAAAAUAAACAGAUGCUACCUGGGGGAUCCAAAGAAAUGUCAAAUCUCCAGGCAGGUUAUUUUGAUCCCCAUUUUGUAAGGAUAUUUGAAGGUGAAGGCUAUGUAAAUCUGAAUCAAGUGAGGAGACGGCAUAUGAUGGAAGAAGCCAAAAAAAAUCUAGGCAAAGCCUUCCUCCCUAGUAGUGGAGAAAAAAAGCCAUGUGGUUUAGGAAGCUACUAUGGAACAAUAGGUGGUCCAGUGCCAUUCUUCAGUGCACAGUCAAAACCCAGAGAAAAAUAUGAGGCACCUGGAAAGAAUUUGUACACAAACCCGGGAAAGAAAGGAACUGGAUAUGGCUAUGCAAAUGUUACCAUAGGUAAACAGUUUUCACACUCUGCUGAUUUCUAUGAUGCACCCAAACUUAAUUUUAAGAAGGAGAAUGAAGAACACCAUCGUUUAGUUAAAGGAACACCUUUCAAAUUAAAUCUUUACCCAAGGGAAUAUUUUGAUACUAAUCCUUAUUUGUUUGAGAAUCCUUUACCACCAAUUAAAAAAAUAGAGAAGAAAGAAUUACUUACACACCCCUUUAAGCCCUCUUCUCCUGGUAAAAAGGCAGGUGGAAUGAAGGCAGGAACAUUUGACCCUUAUCCUUCACAUUCUGCUGACCCUUAUGUGGUUAAGUUGUCAAGCCAGAUUUCCAGCAAAGGUGCUAAGAUUUUCCAUCCACCAAGUGGACCAAAGAGCAGACCAGUUGAAAGUAUAAUGACUUUGAAUGUCAAAAGGGCACUAAAUAUGAAGAACUACAAGACUGUUUCAGUCCAGUCCUAUUAGCAUGAGGAACACAAAUAGCUUUCUAGGUCCCAUCUACCAACAAUUCAUUAUCAAAUGCAAAUUAUUUGCAGAAAAACGUAAGAUAUGGAACAGGAGGAGUUUGUCUUCUCUUGCAUUUCCCUGCAGUUGCUUUUAGUAUAAGAACAUGACGAUGAACUUUGUAUUCGGGCUAUAAGAUCAAAAGAAACAUACCAUGCUAACAUUCUGCAAAGUCUGUAUUCGAAGAGCCUGAAAUGAUUCCAGUUGAUGCUGAAGGGCCUAUAAAAAAAUUAAACAUGGUAUGAAAUCAGACCAUUUUGAAAUUGCUAUUAUUUCUUUUUAUAUAUAUCCCCCAAAGUUGCCUAUUACUAGAAAGGAUCACAUGAGGGUCAAAAGACUCAGAUUCUUAGUCAUUCUUGCUAAUUCUUCUAUGCAUUUUCAUGAAGAUUUUUGUGGAAAAUCCAUGUUUAUUUAGGAAGGAUUUAUUCUGAAAGAGAUCAGCCUUUACACAAGCAUUUGGAGAAAAAUGAAAACGAACUUACUUUCAGUGCUGAUUGUGGUUGGAUUUGAUUUUCUGAUUCUGACAUGCAGCCAUAUUCUAAAGAGCAAAAUUGAAAAACCAUGUGAUCUAAUUCUUAAGUUUUAUUUUUAAACAACUGUAAUAGAAAGUAGUCUCCUAACUUUCUUGGGUAGUGAGAUAGUAAGAAUUUUGAUGUUCACAUUAGGAAGAACUCAAUGGAAGUCACAUAAUAAGGUCAAGAUAAAUUUUCAUGUGGCUUAAAAUACCUACUUGAGAUUGUAAUACUGGUUAUACUUUUAUAAUAAACCAUUAACUUGUAAUGCCAAACUUGUAACUCUCAACUCGAUUAUCUUUAUAUUUGCAAUAUAAACUGCAUUUAAAAAGAAAAAACAAUCUAAAAAAAAACACAAAGCAAUCUCAUAAUCCUGUUAUGGGAGACCUUUGACAAAAUACUGUAUAGGUCUUA